CCAGGUUUGGAGGUGGUGCUCAUCACUCCCCCCAAAUUCCGUGGACUAGAACUUAGUCAGCCGGCCACACCUUAUUACGAGGGGAGGCUGGAAAGUGUAGUCUCGCUGUCCACCCCAGGAGGAAGAGGAGAACACAGCAGAUUCUUCCACAUUAGGGUCCCUCUUCCUCCUGGGAAAGAUGGACCAGGACGCAGCCCGGGCUGGCAGGAAGGCCCCCUGGAGGAGGCAGCAUUGGCAGUGGGCUGGAAGGAUGCUGACUCAGGAUGGAGCAGUGUAAUUUGGGAGGACCAAGGAGGGUAACUCACCCCAAAUAUCUCCAGCUGCCCAACCAGCGCCAAGUGAGCACAAAUGCCCAGUCUUCUCACAAGGACUUUUGGUGUCAUUUUGUGAGCCAGGAAGGUGCCUUUACAGCUGACAAUUACAUAUCCAUUGAGGAAACGUAAUAAAAACCAUCCCUCCCCUCAUUUACCUAAAUGUGAUUUUCUG
rnacentral:lncRNA from 1 species